GAAGAGGAGUACGUGGAAGAAGGUCAGGAAGAACAGGUAGAGGAGGCAGAAGAGGAGACCGAGGAAACCAAGGCAGAAGAACAAGAAGAUGAAACAAAAGCACCAGGAGAAGGUGGAGAGGGGGACCGAGAGCAGGAGCCUGGGGAAGGUGAGGCAUCCCCCCGUGAUCCUCUUUGGGGUGGGGGGCACCAUGCCUGGGCAGGUGC
rnacentral:lncRNA from 1 species